CGGAGCGCCGCCGCCACUACACACACGCCAGAUCGCUUCAAUUUCUCCGUGCCAGCUCCCGGCACCGAGAGCUGGCGGCGAGGAGGAGAGCUGCAUGGCGAGCUGGCCCCAGCGCAGCCAGGAGCGGGAGUUCUGGAGGGAUGGCUGCUGUGGCGCGGCUCUCCUCAGUGCUGGACGCUCAGGGCACAGCUCCUGCUGCAAGGCGCCUUCAGCCGCUGAGGCUCCGCCAAAGAAAUGGGCACGGGCACCGCGACAUCCCCGUGUCUCCUUUUGCGACAAAAUCGGGACCAUCCGCAGCUGGCAGCCAAUGUAACCUCGGACCAAUGUGCUGACUCUUCUUCCUGUAGCAGACAGCUCAGGCUAAGCCCAAGCAAGCUGCCUUUGCAAGGGAUACCAGAGGGUGACACCUCUGUGUAGACAAAUAUACCCAAGUGUGACAGAGCACCUGCCAUCAGUCUCUCUUUCAUUUAGGAUGGGCUUUAAAAGCAAGUUCCUUGACGACUUUUUGUAACAGAUCUUUCAGUAUUUUGCUGAGAAAGGUUUAGCUUUCUGAUGCUAAGUUCUCAGGUGGUUGCAAUCAGUUCCCCUUUCAAGCCUUGAUGGAUUCUGCACUGCAGUAGCAUCUCAAAUUUAUAAUUUCUAAAUACGUUCAAAUUAAUAGGAGUCUACUAAUUGAUCUCAGUACUUGCUAGUCUGGACUGGGCCCACAGGCUCACGUUGAGCAGCUACUUCAGCAGAAUCAAAACCAUGAGUGGGAGCCACAUCAGAUAGUCAGAUCUGAGUAUCUGCUGAUUUCCAUGAGAUUUUUUACAACUUUUGGCAAUCAUCUGGCUGGUUUCAGCAAAACAAGGCUAUUCACAUUCAAUUAUCAAAUACCAAAAUUCUGCCAAUUGCCUUUGUGUGAGUCUUUGGCAAACCAGACAGUUCAAUGUGGUUAUGUGGGCUUUUACUAAUAAAUGCUGAACAGCAUUAAAAGCAGAACUGGAUUUUUAGCAUAUUGGGUCACAAGACAGAAACCAGUUGAAAUUUCCUAGUGGCAACAUUUCUUACAAUGACUGGAUGUUUAUUUGCUGUUAUUAAUCAGUAAAACUUCAUUGUGGACUGUGCAGGAUCCUCUACAAGACAUGGAAAUACACACUGCCUUGAGAGCUUGGAGUCCGAAAAAAAUGUUUCUUGUGUGAGUUAAUUGAACACAGUCAUUUGCAUUAAAAGACUGUAGUGUUGUAGGGAGGAUCUGAAUGUUUUGUCAUGUACCUUUACAUUUCUCAGGCCCUUUGUGUGCAAAGUGUCACUGCCCAGUUGCCUUAACAUUGAAAUAUUUACCAAGGAUAUGUGCUGCACGUACUCUGGUUCUGUUGGAGAGUCUACUUCUGCUUCCACUCACUUUGCUUUAAAAAAAAUAUUACUUGAAAUCUAAAGAAAUGUUACUUUACACUCUAGUAUAAGAUUUGUUCUGAAAAGCUGAUAUAAAGCAGAGCAGGACAAUUGUCACAAGAGAUAAAUCAGCCAAGAAAUUUACACUGCUAACUCCACCCUUCUGCUGCAAAUCCUUAAAUGUGUCAUAUGAGAUUAGACUGAUACUAUGGCAAUACUUGUGCCAACAAUCAGAACUAACAGACAUUUUUGCAAAGGCAGAAUUCAUGCAUGAAAGAUUUGUUUUUAAUCUGCCCAAAUGGAGUAGGUAAAUUUAUACCCUCCUACUGGAUGCUGGAAAGCUCAGCUUGGAAAGAGUUGGAAAGCUCCAACCUACUCCCAGUCUCCAUCAGCAAUGUUUGUCCCCAGAUCUCAUGGGCACAGACCUGUCCCAGAGCAGAGGGUGAAUACAGGAGCUCACAAUCCUUACAAGAAUUAGUGAAGGGUCUCUCAGGAUCAGGAGACUGUCGUCCCAGAAACCCCACAGGACUGUACAAGGGCCUUGAACUAUUGCCAUCCACACUGAAAUGAGCAGGAGGAGAAAUAUAAUUAAAGAGCAUUUCAUAACCUGCAUGGUUCUGAAUAAAGGUUUCACUGGCAAUUUCGUUUGGACAUUGCCUAACUUUUAAAGGCUUGGCUUUGCAACAUUCAUAGUGUUCCUGUAACACCUGUAGCAUUUCCUGUGCUCCUGAAAAGGACAGCUGUUGGUGCAGGCUCAUGCAGCAUCACAGCCCCUCCAUGGGCCAUCAGCUGACUGUCCCCACCCUUGUGUGUCCAGCACAGACUUCUCCUUUUACUGAAAGUUACAGCAGCAGUGGCUGUUAUCCUCCAUCCAGACCAGCAGCAGAGAGGGAUGAGUGUUGGAAUUUGGAUUAUUCAGUGGAUUCAUAAGACCAUUCCUGAGGCUAUUUAGUAUUUACACAGUUGUCUCAAGCAUGUUUCUACAAAACAGUGUGAUUAGGAGCUAGCUCUUACACAAUGAACAAAAAUAAAGCAAUUAAUUAGUUAAGCUUGCUUAAGCCGACCACAAGAUCAAUCUAGCAACUUCAGAAUCAUCUUUGACCGAAUUCAGAUACCUCUGAUAUAUAGUCCCACUUGCCUUUUCUUAAUUUAGUGGCUGCCAGACUAAUGAAUUGACCCUUUCUCCCUUGGUCAUGUGGCCUUCUCACUGCCUCCUCCCAACUGUAAAAUUCUUGUCAUCCAACUGCCUGACAGCCUGCUCUCCUCCCCCAGGCAGGCAGCUGCUGCCUCAGCCAAGGACACUCAGCUCCAGUGGUUUCUGUGCUGCUGCUGCUGGGGCAGGCAGCACAAGAGGCAAAUUCUUUGCUGGCUGAGCCAACAUGAAGCCCAGCCUCAGGGAAGCUCUGUUCCACUUCCAGCUCUGCAAGUCAGGAUGUCCCAGCAGGCAGAGCCCGUGGUGCCCCUCUCCACCCACACAUCCCCUGCUCUGCCCCAUGUGGGGCUGCUUCCCACAGCUCCCCCCUGCUACUCCAUUCCCUCCCUGCUGCCUGUGCCCCACCUCCACGCUCAGACUUGGAUCACCUGUUCCUUCCCCAGACUGUCCCUCCUUUCCUAAUCUCCAAUAGGGCCUCCAGCUUUGGUUCCCCACGCCAGGUCCUAGUCCUCUUGUCUGGUUCUUCAUGUCACUGCCUAUCCCCUUGACUUUCCACUCUCUUCCUUCUUCUUUCCUUCUACUGAAGUUCUGUUGUGCCUUCUGUCUGCCAGUUCCUUGCCAACCAGUCUCAACAUAAAACUCUAAUUCCCAGUUGUUUGUUUGUUCUUUCUUUCUCUCUCUCUCUCUCUCUCUCUCUCUCUCUUCCUAUAUCUCAGUCUCCCACUAUCAUGUCUCAGAUCCCAAAAUUUCACACUAGAUUUUGCCUUCCUCUCAUCUACACCUCAGUCUAUGUAGACCUUCCUGUCACAUCCCAUUCCUUUCCCUUGAAUUGUCAGUUUACCAGAAGUUUGGCUUCAGUCUCUUGGCCAAGGGUUGCAAGGGGUUUAGUUAUUCUGAAGGAUAGAAGCAUGUUUUGAAGGCUGAUGGCACAACAAAUCCCACUUAAUUUUGUGAGUACCAUGCCUAUCAUGGAAAUAGUGAAUGCCUUUGUCAUUCUUUUCUGUCUCCCCUGCGAAUGGCACCUUGGCCCCACUGCCUUUAUUAUAAGUAGACAAAAACUGGGAAGGCUGGACCACUUGGCAGAAGGGGAGCGAGGAAGGCACAGAAACCAAACCUGGAGGAUGCACAUGGAGGGCCAGAGCCCUUGUCAAUGUCUAGAAGCUGAUCCUCAGUGCACUGGCUGACACCAAGCUCUGUCCCAUUGAAAUCAGACUCUGACCCCCCAGAGCAAAAGCUUCUGCUUGGGCCAAGAUGUCUUUGCAAUACAAAGAAGGAUGCAAAGAAGGGGAACUUCAAGAUAUGGUUCUCUGUUGAAGGACUACAGUACAAUAAGAUGUUGCUAUUUUUACUGUCACUUCCUUUUAUAUAUUCAGGGCCAGGUCUGCUUACUUGAGUGACAAGAAGUUAUUUUUCCUUUUUCUCCAACUGUUUUUACAAAGCAAAUGUAUGAUAAAAGGACAGAGUAUCUAUGUUCUCAAACACAAGCAGCAUGAUUUAGGAUUUUAGAACUACCAUGUAAAAACUCAUUCUGGUCCUGCCAGCUUCUACUUUCAACUCAUUAGCCACCUAUCCAUGUCUGUUAGCAAUUUUUCAAAAGGCUUCCUAGCUCUUACCAGAACUCUUCCAGGUGGAAAGAGAGGACAUAUCAGCACUGAAGCAGCACAUCCAGAAUGUCAUGCAUGAAGUUAUUUUCUUAUUUACCUGUAUGAGCACAAACUUUUUCAGUAUGUGCUGUGUCCUAACUGUCCCAAGGCCAGCAGCUCAUCAGUUUGUUGAGAGCAAGGGAAAACUGCAAAUCCAGCAGGCUAUCAAGCAAGCUAAUCUUCAAUUAUACAAAUGGAGAGUCAACCAGUUCAAACAAUUUAUCUUUCAAAGUCAACACAACAAACAACAGAAACAAGCAAGAGCUUUUUCAUUCACAACAGACAAUAAACUGUAUUUUUUUAGUGUAGCUAUUCUAGACAGGAUAGUAACAGCUGUUAGAAACUCCUAUUUUCCUCUGCAGUGAAAGACAGGGCAAAUUAAAGGCUUCAGUUGCCUGUACUUUGAAAGGGGAAAAAGGCCAGAAUGAAAACUCAGUUAAACUGAAACAGAUGCUGAUUAUUCCAGCUCCAGUCAGGACAACCAUGAAGAAACCAACUUUUCUUGAUUUAAUUUUCCUUUCUGGUACUUGCAAAUCCAUUUCUGACAUCCCAGGGUAACUCAAUAGGACAAAACAGGAUCCAACAGGACACCCUGUGCUCUGGUAGACAAGCUUCUCUUAGCUUUGGUCUGCAGCACCUGAAUUUCAGUAGGUAGUGUGCCUUCCAAGUGUGCCUAACCACAUCCAGGUCUAGUAUAACUCCCACAACUAAGGGGCAAGAGAGAAUGAGUAUUCUCAAAAGUGAGUUUAAAUCUACAGAAUCUGAGCUUCCUCUGUAGUCAAUAAGAUAAGCCCAGUGCUUAGGCACUCUGAAUCACAUUCUGAAGAAAUCACUUUUUCCAUUGACCUCAUGCAGACCCUGGGGAGUUGAGCUUUCCAAGGGAAAAGCCACUUCCUCCCCAGGAAAGUGCAUUCAAGUCUAAGUGGCCCUGGGUUCACCAGCUUUUCACAUGGCUCACGAGCUGCUGGAGUGCUGUAGGUCUGUGCCUGCAGGUGGUACAAGGCAUCUCCUACCAUUGUACCUGUUUCCCUUGGCUCUCAUGGCAGCCUUCUAAAAGAGGCUGGCACCAGUACUGUGGUGUGGUGUGGCUUUCAUUUGCACUGCAUGUUGUUUCAUGCCUCCAGAGAUCCCUGCAGAUUAGUACCAGGCUGACUGGAAUGGCAUGGUGCGCAGGAAUGCGAGGGCAGCCCAAGCUUUUCUCUGCUCAGCUUCACACAAGGGCAUAUCCUGACUCCAUUCCACAUAAAAGAGGGAGCAGCUUCCACCUCCCUGCUGUCCUCUCUGAUCUUCCUGCUCUCAGCAGCCACAAGAGUGGCAGUGUAGCCCCUGCUUGUGAGACAGAGCCUGACCACAGCCAGUUCUUGACUGGGUCAUUUCAGCUGAUAAAGGUGCAAAGCCGAAGGAAGGAGGCUCACAGUAGCCAAGAAAGGGGAAAGGUCUCAGGCAGCGGUGGCUCCAGGAAGGCAGAACAACUUUAUUACAGGCUUUUUUGAGAUUGCUGGAAACAGCUCACCUGUGUCCUAAAAGUGGCUGGGAGUGGCAGCACGUCCAUGCUGAGCUGUGUGAAACGGCCGCCCCUGCCCAGGCACGUAUCACUGCCAGCAGGUUAACCCAGGCCACAGGCACAAGCAGUUUUCCUUGGGAUUACAGCUUGUCACUGCUGCCAGCCCUGCUGCCUGAAAUGUGGAAGAAGAUGAAGAUCAGCUGAAUAGGGGAGUCUCCAGGAAGACAAACAAACACAACCCUCCUUCGCAUUCUCACAAUCAGAAAAAUAUUCCUUAAGAGUGACCCGGGAAGAAGAAGUUGAGUUUGAAUAAAAUAUUUGCCUGUUGGUCUUAAUAGCUGCAGCUCUAUUAUUUUCUCUUCCUCUUCAGAAUGCCAGCAGGGAUUGAGUGCUGGAGCCAGGGAUGUAUUUCCUGAAGGGUGACAAACAGCAAUAAAGCCUAAAGUCAGUUCCACACUGAAAUUCUUACAUAAAUUGCUCCUUCUUGAAGAAAAGAGAUGGCUGAAAAAUAAAACCAGAAAGCAGCAUGAAAUAAGUAAUCCUACAGUUCAGUUACAGGAAGUGAAAAGAACAACCCCAAAAGUCAGUCAAGGAGCACACCUGUAAAGGGGGGGUUUCAGCUGAGGAUUUCUAAAUGAAACCCUGAAAACUAAAUCAUUCUGGUGCAGAUAGAUCUUCCAAAAGGACACCAUUAAACUCCUUCUGCCCAGAGCCAUGAAAACUACAGCAGAGUGCCAACAACCCUAAUGUUUACUAUUAUUGUACUAGUGCACCAGAGCAUUGAUCUCUGUGUGGGGGGCUGUACAAGAAGAGUGUUCUGAUUCAGAGGCUGAAAGCCAAGUGUAAGACCAGAAAAAUGACACAUAUUUGUCACAGGCACAGGGAGCAUGAGAGAAGAAAGGCAGCCAGAGAGUUGCCAGGUUUUUUUAUAGGCCAUACAGAUAAGGAGUGUCAGAGAGAGCUCAGAAAGAUUAUUUUUCCAACACACAUUAUUAAGAGCCUGGUAGCAAGGAUGGGAAGAAGCACAGAGAUGUUAGAAAUGGCAGCAGGUAGGCAGUGGAACUGGUCAUCACAAGCUGAUAUCCCAGUAAUACUCUGGAACAGAUGAACAGGGAUGGGCUGGGGAAAGAUGGGUCUUGAAGAGGAAGGAACAGCAAAGAGAGAAGGGGUAAGAACAGUCCUGCAUUGUGAGGACAAGGGCUUGGUUAUCCAAGAGUUUUCUUUCCCUCUCUUGUUUCCCAGGGGGAGGAGCGGUGUUUCAAGGGAGAAUAAUACAAUGGUUUCACUGUGUUGAGAGAUUUAUGGUUUGACUUUACCAUGUGUUAAAAUAUUGAUUCUCUUUCUAACAUAUGCUUGAGAUAUUGACAAUGGUUUUUUUCUCUCUAGAAGACUGACUUCUGCAAACAAAAGGUGGGACUUGACGGUAGGAUGCGGCGAGGAUGGGUAAAAACAAAGUGACGUAAGAGAAGCACAAGUCUCGAAUUUCUUCCACUCAAUUAAAUAAAGAUAGCAAGAGAGACACAGAGCAGUGUGUGGUGGUGAGAAGCUGGAAUAAUUAAAGAAUAAUCUGACAGACGGUGCACUUACGGGCAAUUACAGCAAGCCUCUGCUGGCACUCCAGGGCACGGGGCCAAAGACUUAGGGGAUUCAAACCACACAAGUAGAGCAGUAACCUCCUAGAAAUGCCAGUGCAGAGCAUUUGGCUGAGGAGCCCAGAAUGGGACUUACAUGGAGCCAGGUCUCUGCGUUUACCAGGUGUUAGCAGGAAGAGCAGCCUGUCAAAAAGCCGUGGCUGUGUCCCUUGGAUAAUGCAUUUCCAGGCACGUCUCCUUGUCUUUUGCAUACAGCUUGAGGAUCUGCAUCAAACUACACCAAACAACAAACUUAAAAUAAGUAUAUUCAGAAAGCUCAACUAAAAAAAAAAUCACUUGUCUGUCAACUUCCUUUCAAAAACAAGGACUGGGUUAAACACCAAGCAAUCAAGCUUGAGGCUCUGAAGGCAUUUGGGAUUCCCACAGGGAGCCAUGCCAGGCUUUCUGUUCCUUGCCUCACCCCACCCAGUAAACCCAAACCACCUUCCUCCUCCUCCUCCUCUCUCUGAAGCUGGGCUCUGUGUCCCAGGGUCCCACUCAGCAGCUUCAGGGACAACUGCAUGAAAUCUGCAGGUGUAUUUCUGAAAGCACUGGGAUGCAUUGUUUACCAAAUGCUGCCACACGACAUUUCUGAUCUCAUCAGCACACAGAGAGGUGAAACAAGCUCUAGAAUUUGAGAAAAGAAGAAAAGAGAGAGAGAUCCAAGUGGAAAGCAAACACAGAUCAGGUGCUGUGAAAAGCUUCUUAAACUGUCAACAAAGUAUUUACUUAAACUCAGAACAGAAAGUCACCUUCAAGAUGGGUAGUUCCCAUCAAAGUGGCUUUAUUUUUAAACACCCCAUGUCUGGAGCUGCAUGACUAUACAGGACUCUGAACCAAAUUUUUGCUUUUAAAAGUAAGAACUUGAUUCCAGACUUUCUUGUCAUAUGGAAAACAUGAACUUGAAAGGCUUAAAAAGCAGAAGGAAAAUAAAAAGCGUUUUAAAUGUAUAAAGAAAAAACCCAAGCCUCAUAAACAAAUGGGACUGGCAACAUUGCUUCACCUAAAUGCUUUUUUCUUCUACUUAGUAGGAGAUGUUUCUCAAGACUUGAAAUAAGUGUUGUUUUGUAUCUGCAGGGCUUUCAGCAAGUGGCUGCCAAAUUACGAAACCCUCUGGAUUCCAGCAAUGCACAUCUCUGCUGUCUGCUGCACUCAGAGUAUCUGGGAACAGGAGGAGGAAAACAAGCUUAUCAUUUAUAAAAUUAUUGCUGGUUUUGUGGCUCUGAGGCUCUCUGCAGUGCACAAGAAUAACUUGUUUGUGACAUCAGUAAAAUAAGGAUGUGCCACCUAGAGCACGUUGUCCUCUCCAUGGAUACCAUGCUCAGGCUUUCUCAAAUAACACUGGGCUCCAGCCCGAGGUCGAGUCUCAGGACUCUGGGAAGCUUCAUGCUAUGGGGACACAACUUGAGACCUGGGCACAAGGACAGUCUUGUUCUGACUUCUUCAGCCCUGUGGAAUGGCACCAAGAUAAUGCACUGGCUCAGCACAGUCCCACUGCAAGUGCACGGUGCUUUUCCCAGAUGGAAGGAUUUUGGCAAAAGCUUCCCAGCUAUUCCUGGGAACUGGAAAGGCCCGUGAGAGAAAUGAAUGGGUGCUUGAGCACAUGUCAACCCCAGUGGCCAAAAAGGUUAAAAAAUGGGGUAUAACUAUGAAUAAAUAGCAGCCUUACUCAAAACUAAA